UACGGAGGGCGCGAGCGUUAAUCGGAAUUACUGGGCGUAAAGCGCGCGUAGGCUGUUGUGUAAGUUGGGGGUGAAAUCCCGCGGCUCAACCGUGGAACAGCCCUUGAUACUGCGCGACUUGAAUCCGGGAGAGGGUGGCGGAAUUCCAGGUGUAGGAGUGAAAUCCGUAGAUAUCUGGAGGAACAUCAGUGGCGAAGGCGGCCACCUGGACCGGUAUUGACGCUGAGGCGCGAAAGCGUGGGGAGCAAACAGG
rnacentral:rRNA from 1 species